rnacentral:rRNA from 1 species
GAUGAACGCUAGCGGCAGGCCUAAUACAUGCAAGUCGAACGAUAUUAUCCAGCAUGCUGGAUAUGAAAGUGGCGCACGGGUGCGUAACGCGUAUGCAACCUACCUUAUUCAGGGGGAUAGCCCGAAGAAAUUCGGAUUAACACCGCAUAAAAUCACAGUUCAGCAUUGGACAAUGAUCAAAUAUUUAUAGGAAUAAGAUGGGCAUGCGUGUCAUUAGCUAGUUGGCGGGGUAACGGCCCACCAAGGCGACGAUGACUAGGGGAUCUGAGAGGAUGGCCCCCCACACUGGGACUGAGACAAGGACCAGAAUCCUACGGGAGGCAGCAGUAAGGAAUAUUGGUCAAUGGAGGGAACUCUGAACCAGCCAUGCCGCGUGCAGGAAGACGGCCCUCUGGGUUGUAAACUGCUUUUAUUCGGGAAUAAACCUAUUUACGUGUAAAUAGCUGAAUGUACCGAAGGAAUAAGGAUCGGCUAACUCCGUGCCAGCAGCCGCGGUAA